UCAAACAGGGCAAACAGGAACAACAUGGACAGGCCAAAGUGCAAUAGAAGUGAAAUGGCAUGGAGACCUCUCAUAAGCACAAGAGUCUUUGCUAGUGGACCAGUGAAGCUGACUGGUGGAAUGCACUGAAGAGAGUAGGAGCUGUGAAACCAACAGUGGCAAAUCAAGACAACUGGGAGAAUUUUCAGAUCUUCAAGGCAAGGCCAGAUGACAUCCUUAUUAUCACUUAUCCUAAAGCAGGCACCACCUGGGUGUCCUACAUUUUGGAUCUGCUUUACUUUGGCAAUACGGCACCAGAGCGUCAGACCUCUCUGCCCAUCUACAUGCGAGUACCGUUCCUCGAGACAGCCUUCCCUGUGACCCCUGCAGGUGGGUCAGUGUGGUGUGGAGUAAGUGUGCAAUUGCAUCAU